rnacentral:tRNA from 1 species
GCGUCGGUGGUUCAGCGGUAGAAUACUCGCCUGCCACGCGGGUGACCCGGGUUCGAUUCCCGGCCGACGUA